GGUUCCCCUGCGCUCCCAGCUCCGGGGCGGAGGGAGGCGGGAGGCCAUCUCGAUUCGGAUUCCUUAACCACCUCACUCCCAGAAGAUGUCAGCCCGUCCCCGGGACCCCCGCCACGCGGCCGGGCCAGGUCAGAGUUCAUUGACGGAGAUCCAGGGGCCCUUUCUGCAGGGAGUGCUGCCCACUCGCCGCGAGCCUCGGCGUUUACACAGCCAGCCUGGGCGCUCUGACCUGGUCUGACUGCACGGAAACACCGCAGGGUGUUGGGCGAGUGGCUUGGGGGCCACCUCCCGCCGUGUUGGUGGGUUUACCCAGGCUCCAGAAGCGGGGUGGGGGGCACGCUUUUCCUUCUUAUUUUAUUAUUUAUUUAUUUGUUAGCUUUUCCUUUUUUUAACGUUGGUGUAUAUGGAGGCGGGCAGCUGUGUGGGGUGGAGGAGGCAAGUGCAGUCACCUAGGAACAGAUGGGCACCCUCAGUCCAGCAGGCGACUGGGAGAAGGGGACUCUGGCUUUAAAGACAUUCACUGAAAGUGAAAAUGACCCUGGCAGGGGAGUUGCUUCAACCCCUCUUUUUUUAUUACCUGCUUAUUAGGUUGUAGUGUCUACAGGUUCAUGGAAAAUUGCUUAGCUCCUCCUGGUAGCUGAAAGCGGCCCUCUUUCCCUGGGUCUCUGGUCCAGGGCUCUGUGUUCUCCUACGUCUCCUUGUACCCUUUCCCAGGAUUCCACACACCUGUCAACAUCCAAGUCCUGAAAAACCAUGGACUUUUAGGCCUCCAUGAGGCCCAGCUUCAGAUCCUGCUUUCACAGAAUGACCCCUGCCUUUACCAGAGGUGAGUCCCCGAGAAGUCUUCCUCAUAUUGUCUGUGUGGUAAAAGAAGCCACGGAGAAUAUCAGAAGUAGAGUUCAGAGUGAGGUGUACAGGGCCUUGAGAAACAAGAAGUACAAGUAUGUGGGGCUAUAGAAACCAGCCCUCUUAUUUCUGCUUCUGCUCAGUCAGCUAAGAAGCCACAGGCGGAUAAACCUUAAAGGAAGUCCGUCAAGUAAAGAGCAGCGUGUCCAGUUGGAAGUUCUGAAAACAAAGCUGUUGCUGAGAUUUUAUUUGUAACCAUUUGUAUGUCCAGAGAAAGGAAAUCCCAGGGCAAAAUACCUCUAAAAACUGAAAUCAGUCAAAGGGAGAAAUAAAGUUUAAAAUCCGUUUAUUGCUCACAAACUGCA